ACCCUUCCGUAGUUCAUAAGCAUGAUGACUGGGUGUUCACAUGCAUGCGUGAGAUAUGGCAACCUCAAACCUUGUUACAUCGGCACGUUACCUGUCUGACA
rfam:Gorilla gorilla gorilla genomic chromosome, chr16, whole genome shotgun sequence